GAGNAAAAGUCGUAACAAGGUUUCCGNAGGUGAACCUGCGGAAGGACCAAUAA
rnacentral:rRNA from 1 species